UCUGUGUAUCUGCCAAGAGAAUAUCAGAAAAGUUACUGCAGUGAUAUCUGGCUUGUAGUAACCAAGCUUUCACAGUUAUGUUGCUUUUUGAACCACCAGUAUAGGGGCUCUUCCUCUCAAUGCGAAGUAGAAUUCACAAAGUGCUGUAUUGUUCACCCACUGAUGUGAAGGUAUGUGAGCUGGGAUCAUCAUGAAACGUGUUAGUU
rnacentral:rRNA from 1 species